rnacentral:rRNA from 1 species
UACAGAGGUCUCAAGCGUUGUUCGGAUUCAUUGGGCGUAAAGGGUGCGUAGGCGGCGCGGUAAGUCGGGUGUGAAAUCUCGGAGCUUAACUCCGAGACUGCAUUCGAUACUGCCGUGCUUGAGGACUGGAGAGGAGACUGGAAUUUACGGUGUAGCGGUGAAAUGCGUAGAUAUCGUAAGGAAGACCAGUGGCGAAGGCGGGUCUCUGGACAGUUCCUGACGCUGAGGCACGAAGGUCAGGGGAGCAAACAGG